AAAAUUUUGGCACCGAAGGAAGUAUAGACUCGGCCCCAAUCUCGCAGACUCCUCUUCCAAAUCGCCCCCAAAUCGAGUCUGUUGUGCCCUCGCCGCCGCCCAAAUGCGAUGUGCCCUCGCCGCCGCCCCCAACCAUCACCCCUCACCGCCGCCCUGCAACCACCGCCACUCCGACCAUUGCCGCCGUCACCCCCAGCACCCCACCGUAGCCCCGCCGAGCACCAACUAAAGAUCUAAGCCCCCGCCGGCCUACCCCGACGCCGAGCCACUCCACCACCAUCAAGUACUCUGGUCCAGAGAUCUGGUCCGCCCUUCGCCGCUGUCAAGCAUCCUUAGAUCUCGGCCUCCCUUCGCCGCAUUCCCAGCGCCGCCCAAAUGUGGUCUCUCCAUCCACGCAUUCUCCUCUCGCAGCACCGUCUCCUUGGCAUCUCUCCCGAACUGCCGAGAUGAGGCAUGCGCCGGGCUAGGGUUUGGCGCCGCCGGCCCUCUUGGUCGACCUACUCUGGUGCAUGCUCGCCCAUCAUCCUCCGCCCCUGGUCCACCUCGACGUCAUGCACUCGUGCUCGCCCAUCAUCCUUUGUCCGUGCUCCCCCAAUUCGUGCUUCUACGGCCUCCCCCUCUUGUACUUCGAGCCUAAGAAUCACAGGUCAACAGAUGUUGGUGUUCAAAAUACAGAUGGAGGUGGAUUAUAAUACUUUGGUGAUAAUAACACCAACCUUAUAGCCAUAUCAUUUACGAAUAACUCCAUAAGAUUUCCCAAAGUUCUGAAUGCAAUAACAUGUUCUGAUCUAGUGCAGAUUUCCCAAAGGUACACAAGUUCAAUAAGGUUUGGAGGAUCUUCAAGUUGCUGAAGAUUUGAAGAACUACAACUAAGUUGGUGGAGUGAUAAUGUCAUUUGUCUUGUUUGUUGAACCUAGAGACUUGAUAUGCUCAUUUUAUUGGUUAUUAAGCUCAUUUUGGUUGUGUGGCGCACAUCUAGAAACAUAUGUGCAUCUCCUUUUGUGGCACUAUUUUUUUUGGUUGUGUGGCAAACAUAUAUGUACUCCUUUUGUGGCACAUCCUCCUUAUAUAUACUCGAAUGAAGUUUUAAGGUUU